rnacentral:rRNA from 1 species
AAGGGGGAUGCCUUAGUACGGCGAGUGAAGCGGCAACAGCUCAAUUUGAAAGCUGGCCCUUUUAGGGUCCGCAUUGUUUUUUGUAGAGGAUGAUUCGGCGAGGGCUCCCGCCUUCCUCCCCUGGAACGGGGCGUCAUAGAGAGAGACAAUCCCGUAUGCGGUAGGUUGCCUUAGCCAUGUGAAUCUCCUUCGACGAGUCGAGGUGUUUGGGAAUGCAGCUCUGAAUGAGAUGUAUAUUUCUUCUAAAGCUAAAUACCGGCCAGAGACCGAUAGCGCACAAGUAGAGUGAUCGAAAGAUGAAUAGCACUUUGGAAAGAGAGUUAAAAAGUACGUGAAAUUGUUGAAAGGCAAGCGCUUGCAACCGGACUUGUCCGCUGUUGCUCAGCCCGUCUCCUGACCCGCGUACUCUUCUGCGGCCAGGCCAGCAUCAGUUCGGGAGGUCGGAUAACGGCCUCGGGAAUGCGCCUCCUCUGGGGGAGUGUUAUCGCCCGGGGUGCAAUGCCGCCAGCCUGGACUGACGAACUCGCUUCGGCGAGGAUGCUGGCGUAAUGUUUGUCAGCUCGCCUUGAAAAAAAAAAAAAAAAA